UCUUUGUUUCUUCUAUUCCGUUCCAAGAUUGGAGUCUCCGACGGAUCCUCAAUCUUGCGGGGGCGUGUUAAGGAUAUGUAUUUGUUAGAGUUGUUCUGC